rnacentral:tRNA from 1 species
UAGCUCAGUUGGUAGAGUGCUUGCCUCACAUGCACAAGACCCUGGGUUCAAAUCCCAG